CCCGCCUGGCCUGCGCCUCCCCUCCCUUCCCUUCUCCCUCCCAUCCCGCAGCAAACAAAAUGGCUGCUGCAUGGCCAUUUUGUUUUCCGUCUGGAAAGGGGGAAGCCAGGACGCUGGGACUUGGCUCUUUUUUGGAGCCCAACUCUCCCGUCUCUACGUGGCACCGGCUGUAGUGAGAGAGGGGAAAAAAAAAAGCGAGAGAGAGAGAAAAAAAGGACCUUUUGGAACGAGACCAAAGUCAGAGGCAGAGAGUGGGUAGUUUUGGCGUAUGUUGAGCACUGAAAAUGCCUGGAAUUGCCAAACUGAGCUUUUGUACUAGCAGCGUAACGGCUACCCGGUGCCUGCAGCGUCGCAGGGCUGCACGGUAUAGCCGGACGGAAAGUGAAUCUGCGUUUCCUGCCAUAGCCUGGAUGUCUUGGAGGUAGUGGCCACGUCUCUUCGUCCGCAGCCAUUCGGAUCUCAGUCCAGUGGCACGGGUGGGAUCGGGCUCUGCUCAGGCAUCGCUGUUGGAGCCAUCGCCCUGCCUUCCCCUGGGGGGCUGCCCAGCCAUCGGGAGAGGAGCGGACGCUCGCAGAGAGGAGCUGGGAGCAGCAAGAGGUGAAAUCGCUGUUCUCGCAUAGAAAGGAGCUGCGGAGUAGCCAAGACCUGAAUAAGGAUCAUCUCACUGCCUGAGAGUGCCGUGGUCCCAAGCUGUCCUUGAGGCUGAGGUAGUAGAUUGAAUAGUUGUGGAGUCCGGUCCUCCCUUUGAGCUAACUAUACAAUCUACUGUCUUUCCUAAGGAGACAGUCAGGUCUUCAGGUCUCAUCAUCUACACCAAGCAUGGAGGCAGGUGGUGCAAGUAAUGCAAAGCCAGUGAUACGGUGUGCAUCAGCCAAGACCUCUGUACUGCUCUGUGGAGAGCAGCAAAACCACCCGAGGACUGGCUCAGCCACAUUGCUCCUGAGGCAUCACUUCUCUCUGUUGAGGGUCCCAAAACACAGCACAGCAUUGUUGAACAGCCCAGUGGCUCUUCUCUUACAGCAUCCAGGAUUGCGUUCUCCAUGCUUCAGCCAUGAGUACGGAGCCACCCUCCUGCACAAAAUCAAUCUGUUUCACGGGUACAAGAGAAACAACGACUUGAGCUGGUGCAUCAGCUUCUGGUGUUCAGUACUGCUCUUUUUUUGCAGAGAUGGGUUCAAGCUGUAAAUGGUUUAAAUGUGCUGCUCUUUUCUGGUCUAUCCUCAAGUGUGAGGGGGAGUGGAUGCUUUGGUACAAAGAGGAUAGAUCUGAGCACCCAGUUCUGAAGCCUGGGUUAAAAACUAGAUCCAAGAGCAUGCUUAUCCUGUAGACUCAAAGCCUUGGGAGCCGAUCCAAUUUGGCUGGUUGGUCCCACUCAGGAAGCGCAUUCUGGUUUGGACAAGUUCCCAUCUUUCCCAUGGUAUAGAGUUAGAGGGUGGUUGUUUCUGGUUUGAUAAUCCAUAUCAACCUAACUCACUAAUACACAAACCCUGGCGAGGAGAUUAGGGCUCCUGUGUACUUACAUAGGAUAAGCCACUGAUUCAGACUAACACCCUGUCCUAGAGGGGAGAGAGGUAAGGAAGAGAUAUAAGCCAAAGGGAGCAAGUCCUAAUCCUUUGGGUUCUCCUAGGCAGGUAGUACUGUUGUAUGCCAACAGACAUGAGCAGACAGCCUGCUCCAGAGCUCUGGCACUUGACUGGGGGCAGGGAAUUGUUAUUUCUUCUCUUUCUUAGGAGCAGAUGGGACUAUCCCUCUGCUAUAUGCAAGAGCAAGUAGGAUGGAGCUGUAACACGAUCAGGGCUGCAUCAGUUCUUCAAGACUGAAGGCCAUCUCGGGCCAUUAUCACUGCCAUCUCACUGCCAUGGAGACGGGUGAGAUCCGAGACAUCGGGGAGCGAGGGCAAGCAGAGGCCACCUUCUCAGAUGAAGUGGGAGAAAGAGACCUGCAAAAAGAAACUGGAGCCCUCCAAUUCGACCCUGAGCAAACACACAGGGGGACCCAGACCUGACUGCUGGGGCCAUGGGGCUCCCCGAAACGAAGCAGCUUGGUUAAGGCUCCUCUGCUUCCUGGGAUAGGGUGUAGCUGUGGCGAGGCUGGGAUGGGACUUGCUCAGGCUGGGCAGCAGCUGGUGGGUGGGGAUGCCGCAGUGUCUAGUGGUGAAGGAAUGCAGCCCUCACUCCAUAAAUCUGGCUCUUCAACAGUCCUGGCGACGUGCUGUGCAAAACUACAGCUUGGUCCUCUCAGAUGCAUUAUUAUCCUCUAGCUGCUUGCUAAGGGGCAGGGCUCCUGCCCACAAAUUGCUUGGAAGGGACCAAAAUAGCACCAGAAGCAUGGGAACAGAGCAUAUCCACUUCAUGUUUAACAAGAGGGAAUGUGUUUAAACUCAAACCAGGGAAGUUCAGGUUGGAUCUAAGGCAGAAGCUCUUCCCUGUGAGGGUGCUGAGGCGCUGGCACAGGGUGCCCAGAGAAGCUGUGGCUGCCCCAUCCCUGGUAGUGCUCAAGGCCAGGUUGGACACAGGGGCUUGGAGCAAGCUGCUCCAGUGGAAGGGGUCCCUGCCUGUGGCAGGGGGUUGGAAUUGCAUGAGUUUUAAUAUCCCUUCCAACCCAAAACAUGCUAUGAUUCUAUAAGAACCAAUCCUGUGUGUCCCAGGUGAAAUCAGUUCAGUCCCCUCCAUUGCACUGAUGCUCAUGCAGGGAAUCUCGAGUGGUGAAGCUGCGCGAGCUGGAAGCCAUGAAUAAAAUAUUACUGGAGAGAUUCUCUUCUGCAAAUGAACUUGGUUUGACUUCUUUAAAA